rnacentral:rRNA from 1 species
CCUACGGGAGGCUGCAGUGGGGAAUUUUGGACAAUGGGGGAAACCCUGAUCCAGCAAUGCCGCGUGUGCGAAGAAGGCCUUCGGGUUGUAAAGCACUUUUGUCAGGGAAGAAAUCCUUUGGGCUAAUACCCUAGGGGGAUGACGGUACCUGAAGAAUAAGCACCGGCUAACUACGUGCCAGCAGCCGCGGUAAUACGUAGGGUGCAAGCGUUAAUCGGAAUUACUGGGCGUAAAGCGUGCGCAGGCGGUUGUGUAAGACAGGUGUGAAAUCCCCGGGCUUAACCUGGGAAUUGCAUUUGUGACUGCACGACUAGAGUGUGUCAGAGGGGGGUGGAAUUCCACGUGUAGCAGUGAAAUGCGUAGAUAUGUGGAGGAACACCAAUGGCGAAGGCAGCCCCCUGGGAUAACACUGACGCUCAUGCACGAAAGCGUGGGGAGCAAACAGGAUUAGAUACCCCAGUAGUC